AUUGAACGCUGGCGGCAGGCCUAACACAUGCAAGUCGAGGGGCAGCAUGUCCCGCAGCAAUGCGGGAUGAUGGCGACCGGCAAACGGGUGCGGAACACGUACAGAACCUUCCUUCGAGCGGGGAAUAGCCCAGAGAAAUUUGGAUUAAUACCCCAUAGUAAAUUGAAAAGGCAUCUUUUUAAUUUUAAAGAUUUAUCACUUGAAGAUGGCUGUGCGGCUGAUUAGGUAGUUGGCGGGGUAACGGCCCACCAAGCCUGCGAUCAGUAACUGGUGUGAGAGAACGACCAGUCACACGGGCACUGGGACACGGGCCCGACUCCUACGGGAGGCAGCAGUAAGGAAUAUUGGGCAAUGGACGCAAGUCUGACCCAGCCAUGCCGCGUGGAGGAUGAAGGUCCUCUGGAUUGUAAACUUCUUUUAUAUGGGACGAAAAAAGGGCUUUCUAGCUCACUUGACGGUACCAUAUGAAUAAGCACCGGCUAACUCCGUGCCAGCAGCCGCCGUAACAC
rnacentral:rRNA from 1 species